rnacentral:tRNA from 1 species
GCACUGCUGGUGUAGUGGUAUCAUUCAAGAUUCCCAUUCUUGCGACCCGGGUUCGAUUCCCGGGCAGUGCA